ACACACAAAACACCGUCAAGAAGAAGAGGAAUAAUUAGCUAGCCAGUCAUUCGCCAUGGCACAUGCCAGGAAGAACACACAGUUUCUGUGCGUGGCCAUAGUUCUUCUGGUGGUCAUGUCAGCCUCCCUGUCCUGCAACGCCAAUGAUACGUAUCCCAAUCCAUGGUGUAACUAUAUGUGGGAAUGCAGAAGACCGGUGCAUGAUCAGGACCAGCGCAAGUGUCGAAACUUAUGCGUAAGCUUAGGCUUCGACUACCUCAAGAGCUUUUGCCGAAGCGAUGACGGCGAUUGUUGUUGCCAUAAGUAAUCUCAAUUCGAUGACUUUGGGAUGAUCUCUGGAUGACGAUGGUUGUUAUGUGCUACUUAGAAAGCUAUAGCUGUUAGUGUGUGUGUGUUCGUCUCGUCCCGUUGUAAGAACAAGAGCAAAAAAUGAAAAAUAUGAAUGGUGUUGAAAACUCUGUAGCCUUUAAAGUCA